GACGAACGCUGGCGGCGUGCCUAAUACAUGCAAGUAGGACGCACAGUUUAUACCGUAGCUUGCUACACCAUAGACUGUGAGUUGCGAACGGGUGAGUAACGCGUAGGUAACCUGCCUGGUAGCGGGGGAUAACUAUUGGAAACGAUAGCUAGUACCGCAUAAUAUUGAUUAUUGCAUGAUAAUUGAUUGAAAGAUGCUAUUGCAUCACUACCAGAUGGACCUGCGUUGUAUUAGCUAGUAGGUGAGGUAACGGCUCACCUAGGCGACGAUACAUAGCCGACCUGAGAGGGUGAUCGGCCACACUGGGACUGAGACACGGCCCAGACUCCUACGGGAGGCAGCAGUAGGGAAUCUUCGGCAAUGGACGAAAGUCUGACCGAGCAACGCCGCGUGAGUGAAGAAGGUUUUCGGAUCGUAAAGCUCUGUUGUAAGAGAAGAACGGGUGUGAGAGUGGAAAGUUCACACUGUGACGGUAUCUUACCAGAAAGGGACGGCUAACUACGUG
rnacentral:rRNA from 1 species